CCUACGGGAGGCUGCAGUGGGGAAUAUUGGGCAAUGGGCGCAAGCCUGACCCAGCAACGCCGCGUGAAGGAAGAAGGCUUUCGGGUUGUAAACUUCUUUUAACAGGGACGAAGAAAGUGACGGUACCUGAGGAAUAAGCCACGGUUAACUCCGUGCCAGCAGCCGCGGUAAUACGUAGGUGGCAAGCGUUUUCCGGAUUUAUUGGGUGUAAAGGGCGUGUAGGCGGGAGGGCAAGUCAGAUGUGAAAUCUCAGGGCUCAACCCUGAACCUGCAUUUGAAACUGUGUUUCUUGAGUGCUGGAGAGGUAAUCGGAAUUCCGUGCGUAGCGGUGAAAUGCGUAGAUAUACGGAGGAACACCAGUGGCGAAGGCGGAUGGCUGGACGGUAACUGACGGUGAGGCGCGAAAGCGUGGGGAGCAAACAGGAUUAGAUACCCGAGUAGUC
rnacentral:rRNA from 1 species